GGGUUGUCAUGCCAAUGGCACUGCCCGGUAGCUAAAUGCGGAAGAGAUAAGUGCUGAAAGCAUCUAAGCACGAAACUUGCCCCGAGAUGAGUUCUCCCUGAGACUAUAAGUCUCCUGAAGGAACGUUGAAGACGACGACGUUGAUAGGCCGGGUGUGUAAGCGCAGCGAUGCGUUGAGCUAACCGGUACUAAUGAACCGUGAGGCUUAACCUUACAACNNNGAAG
rnacentral:rRNA from 1 species